CUCACCUGUCACCUUGUUCAAUUAUUAAAAUGUUAAACAUGAAAAAGACUGAAGAGCAAUUUCAGAGGGAAGAGGAUAAGGAAGAAUGAUAUCCAACAUCCUAACCACAAAGACAAUAUUAACUUAAGAUGAAUAAAAAAGGGGGAUUUGUAAACAUGAAAAUAUUGUAAAACAUAUAAUUUAAUUGUUCCUAUUUAUUGUAUAUGGCCCAAGGAA
rnacentral:lncRNA from 1 species